UGGGGGAAUAUUGCACAAUGGGGGGAACCCUGAUGCAGCGACGCCGCGUGAGUGAAGAAGUACCUCGGUAUGUAAAGCUCUGUCAGCAGGGAAGAAAGAAAUGACGGUACCUGACCAAGAAGCACCGGCUAAAUACGUGCC
rnacentral:rRNA from 1 species